GACGAACGCUGGCGGCGUGCUUAACACAUGCAAGUCGAACGAGACGAUUGAAAGCUUGCUUUCGAAAGUCGAGUGGCAAACGGGUGAGUAACGCGUAGACAACCUGCCUUUGAGAUGGGGACAACAGUUCGAAAGGACUGCUAAUACCGAAUGUUGUAUAUUUUCCACAUGGAAGAUAUAUUAAAGAUGGCCUCUAUUUAUAAGCUAUCGCUCAAAGAUGGGUCUGGGUCUGAUUAGCUGGUUGGUGGGGUAACGGCCUACCAAGGCGACGAUCAGUGGCCGGUGUGAGAGGAUUAACGGCCACAUUGGGACUGAGACACGGCCCAGACUCCUACGGGAGGUAGCAGUGGGGAAUCUUCCACAAUGGACGAAAGUCUGAUGGAGCAACGCCGCGUGAGUGAAGAAGGGUUUCGGCUCGUAAAGCUCUGUUGUCGGGGACGAAUGUGCAGUAUUUGAAUAAAGUACUGUAAUGACGGUACCUGACGAGGAAGCCACGGCUAACUACGUGCCAGCCGCCGCCGUAA
rnacentral:rRNA from 1 species